UCUAGCACAACCAUUCUCAUCAAUCCUCAUACUAAUAAUCAAAACACAAACCAAUUCUUGAAAUCAGAGGUUCCUCUAAUAUUUAAAUUUAGUUAGAAGCUCAGAAUACCAGUUUCAAAUUUUCAAUGGUCACCUUGGACAAAGAGCAUUGGUUUAGAAGAAAGAGAAAAAGGAAAAAACAAAUUCAUAGGAUGUUUAUUCAUCAACAUUAUUGCAUCUGCAAUUCACCAAAUUAUACUCUCAUGGCUAUGAGACUUAAACUGAGCAACUGUGGAAGUAACAUUUGUUAUAGUCAUCAACUCUUAAGGCUAUAGCCUUCCUCUCGGCGUUGCGCCUGUCACCUGAAAGUGGCACAAAUGCCAGGAAGGAACUUGGCCCAUUCAGAGAUGGUGACUGAACGACACAACGCUACAGGUCCACAAAGUAUCAGUCGAGGUUUGCAAGUUUGAAGAGGCUGACCUACUUCUUGCUUCAUAGCCAUGCCAAAUGGGAAAAAGGUUGUCAUGGUAGAAUUGAAUGUGUUUCUCUGUCUUCAACUUCUAAAAAAGACUCCACCAGAUAAUUUUUUUCUCAGUCACCCAGUUAUCUUUUCUAUCGCGUUUUCCCUUCCUUCAUGUAGCAACCAUCUAACAUUUAAGGCGGUUAGUUGUAUCUGCAUCACAAUCAAGUAGACAUAUGGAGUUGUGGAGUGGUUCUAUAUCGAUUGAUGAUCGAUAUAAAGACUAUGCCACAGCUCCAGGCAUCUGACUUGAUAAUUUGAUAUCAAAGGUCAGAGGUGACCGGUACACUGAAGCAGAAGUAUCACGCCCUUCAAAUUAUGUAAACUAUAUUGAUUACUCAGUACUUUUUGUACAAUACUCUUCAAAUCAGAGUAACAGUUAUUCUUUGUUUAGGAGAUUCUGGAAAAAAGUCUACAAGAAAGGGGAAGGAAAAAAAAAAGCUAGUAAUUAUUCUGUAAACCAUACUGAUUACUUUUUUGUACAAUACUCUUCAAAUCAGAUUCGAUUGUUUUAGACAAAAAUCAAAUAUUAACAUUUGAAAAUAAUUCAAAAAUCGUUAAAUCGAA